GUCGGCAGUAGACCAACAGGGUAUUGCCUCAGUAACGGCGAGUGAAGCGGCAAAAGCUCAAAUUUUAAAGCUGGCACCUCCGGUGUCCGCGUUGUAAUUUUGUGAGGCAUCUCCGGGUAGGGCGCCGGCCUAAGUUCCUUGGAACAGGACGUCAUAGAGGGUGAGAAUCCCGUGCUUGGCUGGCUGUCCCCGUCCAUGUGAGGUGUCUUCGACGAGUCGAGUUGUUUGGGAAUGCAGCUCAAAAUGGGUGGUAAAUUUCAUCUAAAGCUAAAUAUUGGUGGGAGACCGAUAGCGCACAAGUAGAGUGAUCGAAAGAUGAAAAGCACUUUGAAAAUAGAGUUAAAAAGUACGUGAAAUUGUUGAAAGGGAAGCGCUUGAGACCAGAUUUCGGUGGGGAGUGAUCAGCUGUCCUUCUGGGCGGUGCACUUGCUCCCCUCCGGGCCAGCAUCGGUUGGGACGGCGGGAUAAAGGUCCCGGGAAUGUGGCUCCUUUCGGGGAGUGUUAUAGCCCGGGUGAAUGCCGUCAGCCCCGACCGAGGACCGCGCCUUCGGGCUAGGAUGCUUGGCAUAAUGGUCUUCAGCGACCCGUCUUGAAACACGGACCAAGGAGUCUAACAUCUAUGCGAGUGUUUGGGUGUCAAACCCUUACGCGAAAUGAAAGUGAACGGAGGUGGGAACCCGCAAGGGUGCACCAUCGACCGGUCCCGAAGUCUUCUGAAGGAUCUGAGUAGGAGCAUAGCUGUUGGGACCCGAAAGAUGGUGAACUAUGCCUGAAUAGGGUGAAGCCAGAGGAAACUCUGGUGGAGGCUCGCAGCGGUUCUGACGUGCAAAUCGAUCGUCAAAUUUGGGUAUAGGGGCGAAAGACUAAUCGAACCAUUCUUAAGGCCCCC
rnacentral:rRNA from 1 species